CACAUGCAAGUCGAGCGGUAGAGAGAAGCUUGCUUCUCUUGAGAGCGGCGGACGGGUGAGUAAUGCCAGGAAUCUGCCUGGUAGUGGGGGAUAACGUUCGGAAACGGACGCUAAUACCGCAUACGUCCUACGGGAGAAAGCAGGGGACCUUCGGGCCUUGCACUAUCAGAUGAGCCUAGGUCGGAUUAGCUAGUUGGUGAGGUAAUGGCUCACCAAGGCGACGAUCCGUAGCUGGUCUGAGAGGAUGAUCAGUCACACUGGAACUGACACGCGGUCCACACUCCUACGGGAGGCAGCAGUGGGGAAUAUUGGACAAUGGGCGAAAGCCUGAUCCAGCCAUGCCGCGUGUGUGAAGAAGGUCUUCGGAUUGUAAAGCACUUUAAGUUGGGAGGAAGGGCAUUAACCUAAUACGUUAGUGUUUUGACGUUACCGACAGAAUAAGCACCGGCUAACUCUGUGCCAGCAGCCGCGGUAAUACAGAGGGUGCAAGCGUUAAUCGGAAUUACUGGGCGUAAAGCGCGCGUAGGUGGUUU
rnacentral:rRNA from 1 species